GAUGCCAGGGUCAAAAGGUCUAAGCCCACAUGAGCUUGCUCAUAAGUGGGUGAAAGACCUUAUGUCCCGCCCCGAUAUGAGCAUAAAAGCGGGAUGAUAAUCCCACGAUAUGCGAAUAUUGGGGCGGAUUGUGAGAGUGCGCAGCACGGAACAAUCCGUAGACAUC
rnacentral:sRNA from 1 species